UCCUCCGUGGCGCAAUUGGCUAGCGCGUUCGACUGUUACGUUAGUUCCAAUCUGAAAAGAGGAAGAACACAAAACAAGACAUCGAGAGGUUGACAGUUCAAGCCUGUCCGGGGGAG